rnacentral:lncRNA from 1 species
UUCCCGCCCUUAUUGUUAGGAAACUGCAAUAAACAUCUGAGUAAAUGCCAGUACUUUCCGACAACCAGCGACAUGCAGUUUUGGGCAUGAUCCAACGAAGCCUUUCACAGUAUACAAUUACGAGAAGACUGAAGUUGUAGCCUCUACAAUAACCCAAAUCAUCUACAAAUUCAACCAAAAUGGAUCAUUUAAUGAUAAGCCACAUCCCGGGGUACAAAAAGCAAGAAACGCUCAGCAAGACCGAUACAUUUGGCCUUUCAC